rnacentral:rRNA from 1 species
GAUGAACGCUAGCGGCAGGCCUAAUACAUGCAAGCCGGACGGCAAGUUGAGUAGCAAUACUUGACCUAGAGUGGCGUAAGGGUGCGUAACACGUAUGCAAUCUGCCCACAGCCGGGAGAUAGCCCUCCGAAAGGAGGAUUAAUAUCCCAUAGGAAGAUGAGAUGGCAUCAUUUUAUUUUUAAACUACGGGGCUGUGGAUGAGCAUGCGGUUGAUUAGCUAGUUGGCGGGGUAAAGGCCCACCAAGGCGAUGAUCAAUAGGGGACCUGAGAGGUGAUCCCCCACACUGGCACUGAGAUACGGGCCAGACUCCUACGGGAGCCAGCAGUAGGGAAUAUUGGACAAUGGGUGUAAGCCUGAUCAGCCAUGCCGCGUGCAGGAAGAAGGCC